rnacentral:lncRNA from 1 species
GUUCGACAACUUAGACAUACGUCAAAGAUCACCAGGUCCAAGAACCAGAGGCGGAAGGCAGCCUUAGUUGUUAUUUUCUUUGCAUUUCCAUUUUGUAUUUCUUUACCUUAAAACAUUGAGGACAAUGUUUAGUUUAAGUAUGGGGGGGAAACAAUAUUCUUCCUAUUUCCAUUUCUUCAAGUAUGUUACCUUCCCUUUCAUUGUUAUUUCCCUUUCUUACUAUCUAAAAAAAAUAAAAAAAAUAAAAUAAAAAAAUUUAAGUUAAGUCCGAGUGUGAAAUAUUUCUAUUAUCUAUUCCCUCAAUUUUCUUGAGCCAUAACAAAAUAUUUUUUAACACACCCAAUAAGUAUAAAGGUUGCUUACUCUAUAAAACUUGAGUGAAAUCAAAACAAAAUCAUUACCAUAACAACGCUCUGAGAACCUCAAUAUGUUAGAUCAGGAUAAGUACCUAUUAUACCGAUUCCUUGAACUUUUAG